CCCAAGCUGCUUUGGGAUUGGCUGGCUAAGGGGUGACAUCACUAGGAGCAGGGCGCACCCUAGCAUGGCUUGGUGAAGUUUGUGCAAGCCGAGAAUCUCAGAGGCGUGGAUUGAACCUACCUCCAACAGCCGUUGCUGGUGUUGGAAGGGUCACCAGUUGGGCUUGAAUUUGCCGCCUUCUUCAGUUGUUGGCCAUGGGGUUGGCAGCACGGGUUGGUCUUGAAAUUAAUUUGCUGCCAAUAAGGAUCAUCCGCUUGGGCUUGGUGACAUGGUUAGGUCUCCACCUGAACCUGCUGCUUAGCGAUUUAGGCAGGACGAACAACCUGGCUGUAUCUUGAAUCCACUACCUGCAAUGGUCGUUAGCUAUGAGGCAGCGACAGCUAUGAGCCCAAGAAUUAAAUGGGCCAUGGAAACUGAACUCCUCUACUGCCUCCAUAAAGGUCCCCAACAGGCCAUGACUGAAGCAUAUUCAUGUGAUGGGAUCAUCAGGAGUCACCAGGCCCUGUUUGCCUUCAUCCAGUGUACGUAAUGGAGAUGCUAAAUUCAAGAUGCAAUUAAUAAGCAGGGCAAAAAAGAAAGAGAGGAUUCAGCAGGAAUCUCAGUAUUGGUGAGCUAUUUAUAAUUUUUGGUGUAUGGAU